rnacentral:rRNA from 1 species
GUAGUGACGAUNAAUAACGAUGCAGAACUCUUUCCGAGGCUCUGCAAUCGGAAUGGGUAUACUCUAAACACUUGUACGAGUAUCCACUGGAGGGCAAGUCUGGUGCCAGCAGCCGCGGUAAUUCCAGCUCCAGUAGCGUAUAUUAAAGUUGUUGCGGUUAAAAAGCUCGUAGUUGGAUCUGUGUUUCGAGCCGUCGGUUCGCCGCCCGUCGGCGUUUAACUGACGCGACUUCGAAACGUCCUGCCGGUUGGCGGUCGGUCGCGCGCCUCGUCUCCGGACUUGGCGGACUUGCGACGCGCCAGUGUUUUCACCCGCUCCCGAUACUCUUCACCGAGUGUCGAGACGGGCCGGCACGUUUACUUUGAAUCAAACUGAGUGCUCAAGGCAGGCAAAUUUUACCCGCUUGAAAGAUUUUGCAUGGAAUAAUGAAAUAGGACCUCGCUUCUAUUUUGUUGGUUUUCGGAACCCCGAGGUAAUGAUAAAUAGGGACUGACGGGGGCAUUAGUAUUGCGGCGUUAGAGGUGAAAUUCUUGGAUCGUCGCAAGACUACCUAAAGCGAAAGCAUUUGCCAAGGAUGUUUUCAUUAAUCAAGAACGAAAGUUAGAGGUUCGAAGGCGAUCAGAUNCCGCCCUAGUUCUAACCAUAAACGAUGCUAGCCAGCGAUCCGCGGUGGUUCGUUUGUAAUGACCCCGCGGGCAGCUUCCGGGAAACCAGAGCUUCUGAGUUCCGGGGGUAGUAUGGUUGCAAAGCUGAAACUUAAAGGAAUUGACGGAAGGGCACCACCAGGAGUGGAGCUUGCGGCUUAAUUUGACUCAACACGGGAAACCUCACCAGGUCCAGACACUAAUAGGAUUGACAGAUUGAAGCUCUUUCUUGAUUUAGUGGGUGGUGGUGCAUGGCCG